rnacentral:rRNA from 1 species
UACGUAGGGUGCGAGCGUUAAUCGGAAUUACUGGGCGUAAAGCGUGCGCAGGCGGUUGUGCAAGAAAGGUGUGAAAUCCCCGGGCUUAAGCUGGGAACUGCACUUGUGACUGCACGGCUAGAGUACGGUAGAGGGGGAUGGAAUUCCGCGUGUAGCAGUGAAAUGCGUAGAUUUGCGGAGGAACACCGAUGGCGAAGGCAAUCCCCUGGACCUGUACCGACGCUCAUGCACGAAAGCGUGGGGAGCAAACAGG